rfam:Rattus norvegicus chromosome 10, whole genome shotgun sequence.
UGGCUCAGUGGUUAAGAGCACUGGGUGCUCUCCCAGAGGUCCUGAGUUCAAUUCCCAG